UUCCGGUUGAUCCUGCCGGACCUGACUGCUAUCGGAUUGAUACUAAGCCAUGCGAGUCAUUGUAGCAAUACAAGGCAUACGGCUCAGUAACGCGUAGUCAACCUACCCUAUGGACGGAAAUAACCUCGGGAAACUGAGAAUAAUAUCCGAUAGAACAUUAUGCCUGGAAUGGUUUAUGUUCCAAAUGAUUUAUCGCCGUAGGAUGGGACUGCGGCCUAUCAGUUUGUUGGUGAGGUAAUGGCCCACCAAGACUAUUACAGGUACGGGCUCUGAGAGGAGUAGCCCGGAGAUGGGUACUGAGACACGGACCCAGGCCCUAUGGGGCGCAGCAGGCGAGAAAACUUUGCAAUGUGCGAAAGCACGACAAGGUUAAUCCGAGUGAUUUCUGCUAAAGAAAUCUUUUGUUAGUCCUAGAAACACUAACGAAUAAGGGGUGGGCAAGUUCUGGUGUCAGCCGCCGCGGUAAAACCAGCACCUCAAGUGGUCAGGAUGAUUAUUGGGCCUAAAGCAUCCGUAGCCGGCUCUGUAAGUCCUCGGUUAAAUCUGUACGCUUAACGUACAGGCUGCCGGGAAUACUGCAUAGCUAGGGAGUGGGAGAGGUAGACGGUACUCGGUAGGAAGGGGUAAAAUCCUUUGAUCUAUUGAUGACCACCUGUGGCGAAGGCGGUCUACCAGAACACGUCCGACGGUGAGGGAUGAAAGCUGGGGGAGCAAACCGGAUUAGAUACCCGGGUAGUCCCAGCUGUAAACUAUGCAAACCCAGUGAUGCAUUGGCUUGUGGCCAAUGCAGUGCUGCAGGGAAGCCGUUAAGUUUGCCGCCUGGGAAGUACGUACGCAAGUAUGAAACUUAAAGGAAUGGGCGGGGGAGCACCACAA
rnacentral:rRNA from 2 species